rnacentral:tRNA from 1 species
GAAGAGAAGGAAAUAUGUAUAAAGUUAGAAUCCUCAACUGUUUUCUAGUAGUUAUCGUCUUAUAAAACUGGAAAGCGUGUAUAGGGGCAACUCUAUCAGGGGUUCAAAUCCCCUUCUCUCCGCCA